rnacentral:rRNA from 1 species
GGAGUCUAGCAUGUGCGCGAGUCAUUGGGACUAGCGAAACCUAAAGGCGAAAUGAAAGUGAAAGAGCGCCUCGCGCGCUCCCAGGGAGGAUGGGCUGGCUACGGCCGGCUCCGCACUCCCGGGGCGUCUCGUUCUCAUUGCGAGAUGAGGCGCACCCAUAGCGUACACGCUGGGACCCGAAAGAUGGUGAACUAUGCCUGGUCAGGACGAAGUCAGGGGAAACCCUGAUGGAGGUCCGUAGCGAUUCUGACGUGCAAAUCGAUCGUCGGAACUGGGUAUAGGGGCGAAAGACUAAUCGAACCAUCUAGUAGCUGGUUCCCUCCGAAGUUUCCCUCAGGAUAGCUGGCGCUCGCCUAGCGAGUCUCAUCCGGUAAAGCGAAUGAUUAGAGGCAUUGGGGUCGAAACGGCCUCAACCUAUUCUCAAACUUUAAAUGGGCGAGAUCUCCGGCUUGCUUAGCUUUUGAAGCCGCGAGAAUAUUUUAAGGAUCAGGGUGCCAAGUGGGCCAUUUUUGGUAAGCAGAACUGGCGCUGUGGGAUGAACCAAACGUAGAGUUAAAGCGCCUAAAUCGACGCUUAUGGGAUACCAUGAAAGGCGUUGGUAACUUAAGACAGCAGGACGGUGGCCAUGGAA